GCUGUGUCCUCUGUCAUAGGCCCCUGUGGUUCAGUUGUGUGACUGUUGGUCAAAGUUUCCUACUUCUAACCCAUUUACACAGUGAGCUAUGAAAGGCUGGUUUCAGUUGGCGUUAAGUCUGGUUCCGCCUCCCCGUGCUCCCACAAGUUUCUGUUGGGUUUAGGAAAGAACCGGAAACAGCAGUAUGAAGGCACCGAGCAUGCGCACACUCGGGGUUAUAUAUUGCAGCCGGCUUGGCGGGCCUGACACUCGCGCGUUAUUUAUGGAUCCAGCUUUGCUCCUAGACUCUCUGCAGUCUCAGUUGACAGUUUGUUUUUCAAGGUUCUGCCAAGGUAGAAGUCUAGAGGGACAGAAGACUCCAGGAAAUGCCAGAUGUGGUCUUGACAAACAGCAGUCCAGUUCCCAAUGUUCACAAAUAUUAGACGACCAGACACCAAGCAAAUGCAGAGAGAGACCCAAGUGCAUCUGCAUGAUUGGCGUGGGCAAUGUGGGAUUU